UCAAACUUGGUCAUUUAGAGGAAGUAAAAGUCGUAACAAGGUCUCCGUUGGUGAACCAGCGGAGGGAUCAUUACCGAGUUUACAGCUCCCAAACCCAGUGUGAACGCUACCAGACCGUUGCCUCGGCGGGACCCCCCCCCGCCCCCGGGCUCCUCGCAGCCCCGGGGCCAGGGCGCGCCCGCCGGAGGGACCAACCAAAACCCCCACUGUAUACCCCCUCGCGGGUUCUCUCCACGAUCUGAGCCUUCUCGGCGCCCCUCGCGGGCGUUCCGAAAAUGAAUCAAAACUUUCAACAACGGAUCUCUUGGUUCUGGCAUCGAUGAAGAACGCAGC
rnacentral:misc_RNA from 1 species